UUUUCAUGAUGAAAUUUUCCACCUAAUUCGCAGUUUCCACUCGAGUCCCAUUCGAGCCUUUUUGGGACAGAUGAGGGUAUAAUUAUACUUCCUUGGAUGUCUGAUUAA
rnacentral:snoRNA from 3 species